UGUUGAGGAAUUAAGAUGAUACAAGAUAUGAAUGGAAGAGUGAUCAGAAGCAGAAUCUCUAUACUUUUAUUUUCGGUUGAAAGUCUUAUUGAAUUUGAUGUAAGGACUAUGAAUCAUUGUUGAAUUUAUUGAGAAAUUAAAGAAAAAAAUUUAGGUCGUUAUAUUUUGGAUUUAAAUUAUUGACUAAUUAUUCCGCUAUUGUUUUAGGAUAGUAUGAUAAGAUGC
rnacentral:lncRNA from 1 species